rnacentral:rRNA from 1 species
GAUGAACGCUGACAGAAUGCUUAACACAUGCAAGUCAACUUGAAUUUGGGUUUUUAACUUAGGUUUGGGUGGCGGACGGGUGAGUAACGCGUAAAGAACUUGCCUCACAGCUAGGGACAACAUUUGGAAACGAAUGCUAAUACCUAAUAUUAUGAUAAUAGGGCAUCCUAUAAUUAUGAAAGCUAUAAGCGCUGUGAGAGAGCUUUGCGUCCCAUUAGCUAGUUGGAGAGGUAACGGCUCACCAAGGCGAUGAUGGGUAGCCGGCCUGAGAGGGUGAUCGGCCACAAGGGGACUGAGACACGGCCCGUACUCCUACGGGAGGCAGCAGAGGGGAAUAUUGGACAAUGGACCGAGAGUCUGAUCCAGCAAUUCUGUGUGCACGAUGAAGUUUUUCGGAAUGUAAAGUGCUUUCAGUUGGGAAGAAACAAAUGACGGUACCAACAGAAGAAGUGACGGCUAAAUACGUG